rnacentral:lncRNA from 1 species
CAGAUCAUUAAGCAGCUUCGAGUCUGGAAAAUUUGUUGAAUGUACCGAGCAAUUAGAAUUGUUACCAGGAGAAAAUAUCAGUCUACUUGCUGGAGGAUCAAAAGAAAAAAUAGACAUGAAAAAACUGCUUCAUAACAUGUUAAGUCCAGAUCCAAGGGAACCUCAGAAAUCCAUUGAAGUUCAAUUGUUAAGAAGUUCUGUUUGUUUGGCAACUGCUUUAAACCCGAUAGAACAAGAUCAGAAGUGGCAGUCUAUAACUGAAAAUGUGGUAAAGUACUUGAAGCAAACAUCCCGCAUCGCUAUUGGACCUCUGAGACUUUCUACUUUAACAGUUUCACAGUCUUUGCCAGUUCUAAGUACCUUGCAGCUGUAUUGCUCAUCUGCUUUGGAGACCACAGUUUCUAACAGACUUUCAACAGAGGUCUGUAUAUUUUUA